rnacentral:vault_RNA from 1 species
GCACUGGUUUAGCUCAGUGGUUACUUCAUCAACAAUUCUCUUAGAAUACGCUGAUCUCCAUCCCUCUGUGGGAUCGAACCACGGGCGCUGUCCAGUGUUUUC